rnacentral:ncRNA from 1 species
CAUAAGGUAAAGACAGGAAGAGUAUAUUCCGUUCUGAUGUCAAAGAGAGUGAGCGGCUGCUGAAAGCUCAUCACAGAGGGGAAAGGAAGAUGGACCUGGAACUGCUUUUUCGAAUAGUUAGAAAAAGACGUAGAUCGGCGUUAACGAUUUGAGGCAUGCUUGGCAUGUGAAUAAAGGUGGUAACACGAGCUUUCGUCCUUUGG